GACGAACGCUGGCGGCGUGCUUAACACAUGCAAGUCGAACGGAAAGGCCCUGCUUUUGUGGGGUGCUCGAGUGGCGAACGGGUGAGUAACACGUGAGUAACCUGCCCUUGACUUUGGGAUAACUUCAGGAAACUGGGGCUAAUACCGGAUAGGAGCUCCUGCUGCAUGGUGGGGGUUGGAAAGUUUCGGCGGUUGGGGAUGGACUCGCGGCUUAUCAGCUUGUUGGUGGGGUAGUGGCUUACCAAGGCUUUGACGGGUAGCCGGCCUGAGAGGGUGACCGGCCACAUUGGGACUGAGAUACGGCCCAGGCUCCUACGGGAGGCAGGAGUGGGGAAUAUUGCACAAUGGGCGGAAGCCUGAUGCAGCCACGCCGCGUGGGGGAUGACGGCCUUCGGGUUUGAAACCGCUUUCGCCUGUGACGAAGCGUGAGUGACGGGAAUGGGUAAAGAAGCACCGGCUAACUACGUG
rnacentral:rRNA from 1 species